GAUGAAGAACGUAGCGAAAUGCGAUACGUAAUGUGAAUUGCAGAAUUCAGUGAAUCAUCGAGUCUUUGAACGCACAUUGCGCCCCUUGGUAUUCCGAGGGGCAUGCCUGUUCGAGCGUCAUUUCACCACUCAAGCCUGGCUUGGUGUUGGGCGACGUCCCCUUUGGGGACGCGCCUCGAAACGCUCGGCGGCGUGGCACCGGCUUUAAGCGUAGCAGAAUCUUUCGCUUUGGAAGUCGGGGCCCCGUCUGCCGGAAGACCUACUCGCAAGGUUGACCUCGGAUCAGGCAGGGAUACCCGCUGAACUUAAGCAUAUCAAUAAGCGGAGGA
rnacentral:misc_RNA from 1 species